UGGGGAAUAUUGCACAAUGGGCGAAAGCCUCAUGCAGCGCCGCCGCGUGAGGGAUGACGGCCUUCGGGUUGUAAACCUCUUUCAGCAGGGACGAAGCGCAAGUGACGGUACCUGCAGAAGAAGCACCGGCUAACUACGUGCCAGCAGCCGCGGUAAUACGUAGGGUGCAAGCGUUGUCCGGAAUUACUGGGCGUAAAGAGUUCGUAGGCGGUUUGUCGCGUCGUUUGUGAAAACCAGCAGCUCAACUGCUGGCUUGCAGGCGAUACGGGCAGACUUGAGUACUGCAGGGGAGACUGGAAUUCCUGGUGUAGCGGUGAAAUGCGCAGAUAUCAGGAGGAACACCGGUGGCGAAGGCGGGUCUCUGGGCAGUAACUGACGCUGAGGAACGACAGCGUGGGUAGCGAACAGG
rnacentral:rRNA from 1 species